AGCGAACGCUGGCGGCAGGCUUAACACAUGCAAGUCGAGCGGGCAUCCUGGUGUUGUCCGCGGCAGACGGGUGAGUAACGCGUGUGAACGUUCCCUUCGUUUCGGAAUAACUCAGGGAAACUUGCGCUAAUACCGGAUACGCCCUUUUGGGGAUAGGUUUGCUGCCGAAGGAUCGGCCCGCGUCUGAUUAGCUAGUUGGUGGGUGUAUGGCUCACCAAGGCGACGAUCAGUAGCUGGUCUGAGAGGAUGAUCAGCCACACUGGGACUGAGACACCGCCCAGACUCCUGCGGGAGGCCGCAGUGGAGAAUUUUGGACGAUGGAGGCAAGCCUAAUCUAGCCAUGCCGCGGGCACGAUGAAGGCGUCAUGGUGGGAGAGCGCUGUUGGUCUUGAAGUAGUCAUGUUCGCUAAUACGCCAGGAUAAUGACGGUACCGGAAGAAUAAGCCCCGGCUAACUUCGUG
rnacentral:rRNA from 1 species